rnacentral:rRNA from 1 species
UACGUAGGGGGCAAGCGUUGUCCGGAUUUAUUGGGCGUAAAGAGCGUGUAGGCGGCCAGGUAGGUCUGCUGUGAAAACUCGAGGCUUAACCUCGAGCUGUCGGCGGAAACCAUCUGGCUAGAGUCCGGAAGAGGAGAAUGGAAUUCCCGGUGUAGCGUUGAAAUGCGCAGAUAUCGGGAAGAACACCCGUGGCGAAGGCGGUUCUCUGGGACGGUACUGACGCUGAGACGCGAAAGCGUGGGGAGCGAACAGG